CUGUGGAGGAAGCGGAGAAGUUUGCUGAGGACUCUAAAAACUCAUGACUGAUCUGCCUAUUCCAACUUUGUCUCCAGAUCAGGUCACGACCUUGGACGCACCAAUGCAGAUGCAGGAGAUUGUGGAGGCCAUUAAAUCAUUACAACCCAGAAAAUCGCCGGGCCCUGAUGGCCUGCCGAAUACUUACAAGUAAGGCACUUUGUGUCUGCCUCCAUCCAGGGGUUCCCUGCCAAACCUCCUGAUAAUGUCAUAGACGAGGUAAUAUCUUUUAACACAACCAAAAAAAAAGCCAUUUCUGUAAUGUUACGCUUGAUAUCUGGUUUGGGCUCUCCCUUCAUGUCGGCUAUCAAAGAGGCUUGGGAACACGAUCUCAAAGUUCGUAUCGCUGAAGCAGAAUGGACUAAAGUUCUAAAACAAAUUAAUUCAUCCUCCAUGUGUGCGAGGCACGCUCUAAUUCAGUUUAAAGUGGUACACAGAGCUCAUAUUCGUAAAUCUAAGCUUUCCAAAAUGUACCCUGAUAUUGAUCCAACAUGUGACAAAUGUAAAGCCGAUGAAGCCACUUUAAUACACAUGCUGUGGACCUGUCCCAAAAUAAAGAAAUAUUGGGAAGGUAUAUGUGAAGCACUCUCUUGUGUA